rnacentral:lncRNA from 1 species
GCAUUUUGUUGUGCAUGUUUAUAAGGCAUUCAGGAAAUGAAACACAAAUAAUGGUGUUUCUGUCCAUUUCACUGCCUUUACACCAGGGUAUGCUUUGACGCACAGUGCUGUGUUGCAUUAAAGGAACCCUAUUGGAUUUUAAGUGUGUGAUGCGGUGCCAAGUCAUUUUCCCCCCUGACAUCUGGAGAAACUGUAUCUUUUGUGCCUUGGUAAUGGACCAGGUCUGGGAGACUUCAUCCCACUAUAUGAUCUUUAACUUGAUCAGAAUUGACCUCUAUCAACUGCUGUCAUUGAGUCAUGGACUUUAUUUUGAAGUUAUAAAGCAAACUGAUUUUUAGAAAUUCCUUCAUAUUGCCCUUAAAAGGCUUGAGGUAUCAAACAGUAAAUAUUUUAAUAUAUCACUACUUUCAUAUUUAUUUCAUUUUUCUAAACAGCAUGAAAUACUCAUUUCUUCUAGUUUGGUUUUUUUCUCCAGCUGUUUACAUAUAGCAGCUAUUAGUGUUUGAAUUAAUAAAACGUAAGAUUAUAUCUUAUGAAAUUUACCUGUCUGUAAGUUGUAUUAGUUUUUCUAGAGCUAUUUCCAUCCAAAUUCUUUUUACCAGUAUAGUUUCUUUUAAGAUUUUUUUUUAUUCUGGCUGUAGAUGAGGUAAUUAUAUAUAUAUAAUUUUUUAAGGCCUAACAUGAACUUAAAUAGAUAAGCAGAUUACUCAAGUUAUUUAAUUUCUGUUGCAUAUUCUUAUAAUUUUGUUUUAAUAGUUAAUGAUUUUUUUUUUUUUGCCUUCUCUGGCCCCAGAAGUCUUCUAAAGUGAUAAACUAGUUGCAUUGAUAGACUAUAACCACCAUUUAAUAAUAAUUUCAGACUUUAUAAAAGCAUGGAAGGCCGGGCGUGGUGGCUUACACCUGAAAUCCCAGCACUUUGGGAGGCUGAGGCGGGUGGAUCACCUGAGGUCAGGAGUUCGAGACCUGCCUGGCCAACACAGUGAAACCCUGUCUCUACUAAAAAUAUAAAAAAUUAGCCAGGCGUGGUGGUGGGCGCCUGUAAUCCCAGCUACUUGGGAGGCUGAGGCAGGAGAAUUGCCUGAACCCAGGAGAUGGAGUUUGCAGUGAGCCGACAUGGUCCCGCUGCACUCCAGCCUGGGCGACAGAGUGAGACUCCAUCUCAAAAUAAAUAAAUAAAUAAAAAAUAAAAGCAUGGAAAAGAAAAGGAAUAUGUAGCCUGUUUCUAGAUAGUACCCAUCAGGUUUCCUGUUUGUCCUUAAAGUACUCUGAGCAGUAAUACAUGACAGAUUGCGUGUAUUUGGAAAGCAAUGAGAGUAAGUUGGAAAAUUGUUCUUUCUUGGAAUGCCUCAGAGUUGAUGGUAUUACUAGGCAUAGGAAAAAGUUCACAGAAAAUAUGAAGAACUGUUUUCUGCAUUUUUUUUUCUUUAAAGUUUUAAUGUAGAAUGGCCAGUCCGAUAUACCAUAUAUGCCUAAAUUAAAACUCCGUCUCAAAUUACUACCUCUCAGAAGAGUAUUACUUUAUAUUUGAGUCCUUACAAAAGUCUCACAUAUGAGGCAGAAUUUCUGUCAGUUCUUUUAUUUUUAAUGGUAACUAUUUGGAAAGACACACUAGCCUAAGUGACUUCAGUGAGAGCUUUUUGAAUAUUUAUAAAAGUCACCUGGUGAAAUUGGUUUUUAAAAAAGAAGCAAAGAGAUUUUAUAUAGAUUUAGCAAUUAUUCCUAGGGGUAAGACUUCACAGAAGUGUUGGAUGAAGUUGUAAAUAAGCCUUUCGAAAAUUAAUUUAAUAAGCAAUAUAGCAAUUGGGUACUAUAUACAUGAUACUGUUUUAGAGAUCAUUAGAUGGUGAAGGAGUACUCUUGGCUGGGGAUAAAAUGUUCAGGGACAGCAUCUAACAUGGAUUCAAAGAGUAACAUAUUUUGGCUACUCAAUGAGAAAUUUAGAUUUAAUGUGCAUUGGUAAUGAAUAACCAUUAUAUGAGCAGAAGAGUUUUUGAGCAGAGGAAUUAUGUAAUAAAAGCACCACUUUGGGAAUAUUUAUCUGGUGCUGUUGGAAAGGGAGGAAGAGACAAGAGUUAGACAUACAGACUAGUAGAAUAAUCCAACUGCAUGAUCAUGUAGACCAGGGCUGCUUAAUCUGAGCACUAUUGACAUUUGGGGCAAGCUAAUACUUUGUUGGAAGCUGUGCAUUGUAGAAUGUUUUGUAGCAUCCCUGGCUUCUAACCACUGGAUGACCCCUCCAUUUGUGACAACCAAAAAUACCCUCUAGACAUUGCUAAAUGUUGGGGCAUUAAUUGGGAGUAAGAAGGCAAAAUUGCCCAGAGUAAGAACCACUGACGUGCAUCUAAACUAAAUCAGUAUCCUAGAAAUUCAAUUAUAAUGUAUAAUAUGAAAUUUCAACAGUGAUUUUUUUCUUUGUAUCUUCUUACAUUGUCUGAAGCCUUUAUUAUCCAUUUAUUUUAUGGUUUUUAAAAAAGGGCAGCUGACUGGGCACAGUGGCUCACGCUUGUAAUCCCAGCACUUUCAGAGGCUGAGGCAGACAGAUCACUUGAGCCAAGGAGUUCAAGACCAACAAAUAAAAUAAAAUAAAGACAGCUUUUUUGACAAAAACAAGAACACAAAAUGUAUAAAAAAUUUAACAAAAACAAGUAAACAAAUUUUUUGUAAUAAGCUUUCUCUAACAAAAAAUUUAUAAUGAUUACAGGCCGGGCGCGGUGCCUCACGCCUGUAAUCCCAGCACUUUGGGGGGCUGAGGCAGGCGGAUCACGAGGUCAGGAGAUCGAGACCAUCCUGGCCAACAGGGUGAAACCAUUCCUUCUCUACUAAAAAUACAAAAAAAAUUAGCCGGGCAUGGUGGCAGGCACCUGUAGUCCCAGCUACUCAGGAGGCUGAGGCAGGAGAAUGGCGUGAACCCAGGAGGUGGAGCUUGCAGUGAGCCGAGAUCGCGCCACUGCACUCCAGCCUGGGUGACAGAGUGAGACUCUGUCUCAAAAAAAA